AUGUUCGUCACGGUGAGAUACGGAGGUACGCGGGGAGAGCACUGGCUUCAAGCCAACUGCCAGGAGCUGGUGAACCUGCAGAGCCGCGUGCUGGCCCUCACCGCCCACCUGAGGAGGAAGUGUCAGUGCAGGACAGGAGAGUGCAUCGACCUCGUGGAUGAAGCAGGAACCCUGAUGAACCUGAGCAAAGUGGAGAAUCCUGCAGCUGAGUAUGCCAGUAAAUACCUACGGGAAAGGCAGCGCUACAUCCUCGUCAGGGUCAUCAGUAAGUUCCUCAGCAAGGCCACACAGCUCAUCCUCCAGGCCAGGACGGGUCUGCUGCAGGGGUGGGCAGCACUGGAGGAACUGCCCCGCACACCAGUGGCACCUUGUCACAGCCUACAAACAAGGCUGUGCCUUUGGACAGGGUCUGCCCAGCAGUUGUCUGGACACCACACAGUAGCUGUCAGAAAGAAAAGCCAGCUCACAAAAACACUAGAGCUGUAUCCUGAGACUGAGGUAGCAGCUCUGGGGGAGGAGCUUCUCACAACAGAGCCACCUGCCCCAAUUCCAAGUUUUGAUCCCAAUUUUCAGCCAAGACAGGGACUGACCCACUUUUCCCAUUCUGCUGCUAGGAGAACAAAGCACUGAAGCUACCUGCUAUGAAUCCUUACUGGAGAACCUGGGGAAACACCACCCUGACCUCGCAGGUAAGAGUCAGGCACCCAAGGUGUCUCCAGAGCAGCUGAGAGUGCAGGCCUGACUCCCCCUGAACACCAUCCAGGGGACAGAGCUCCUCCACAUCACCAUGCCCCCUCAGAGCACAGCUUUGGGGCUGGUACUGCUGUGGCAGCAUUAUUGUCACCUGUGGGUAUCCCCAGGUGAAGUCAGGGACAAGCAGCAGGCAGAGCUGCUCUGCAGAGCCCCUCCUGGCUGUCACAACAGCAGCACCACUGCCUGCCCUCCCCACACCAACCUGUACAGGGCACAGCCCCACAGCUGGGAGGCGCGCAGGGCAAGGAGUCAGCUCCUGGGGACAGGCAGGGAGGGACAACACGAGCUGGGGGGACUCAGAGGCCCACCUCCCAGCUCAGCAUCUCCUCACUUAACACACCAGUGGGCAGCUGACACAGCAGGAAAGCACCCAGCUCUUGGGGUUUGCUCCACAGAUCGGCUGCAGAAGCUCUCGGCAAACACCCCGAUGAGAGAGCAGUGGAGGAAAGGCUCCUUGCAGAGGAGGGCUCAGCCCAAGAAGAGCUCAGAGCCGAAGAGCACCCCCAGAUGAGGAAAGGGCCUGAUGGGAACAAGCACAAGUGCAGUGACCACCGCCAGGACUCACCAUGGUGCUGCCCAAGCCCCCAGCCCCACCAGGACCCCCACUCUCCUCAGAUGUUCUGCAACUAAAGCUGCACUGGCAGCAGACAGCACCCUGGCCAGGCACAAGCAGCUGCCUCCUGCUUCAAGGUGUCAUUCACAUUCCCACACCACCACCUGCACUGA
rnacentral:lncRNA from 1 species